AACGACCGCUGGCGGCAUGCCUAACACAUGCAAGUCGAACGAGACCUUCGGGGCUAGUGGCGCACGGGUUCGUAACGCGUGGGAACCUGCCCUUAGGUUCGGAAUAACUCCCCGAAAGGGGUGCUAAUACCGGAUAAUUUCGUCAGACCAAGGAUUUAUCGCCUUUGGAUGGGCCCGCGUUGGCUUAGCUUGUUCGUAGGGUAAAAGCCUACCAAGGCGACGAUCCAUACCUGGUCUGAGAGGAUGAUCAGACACACUGAGAGUGAGAAACGGCCCGGACUCCUACGGGAGGCAGCAGUGGGGAAUAUUGGACAAUGGGCGAAAGCCUGAUCCAGCAAUGCCGCGUGAGUGAUGAAGGCCUUAGAGUUGUAAAGCUCUUUUACCCGGGAUGAUAAUGACAGUACCGGGAGAAUAAGCUCCGGCUAACUCCGUG
rnacentral:rRNA from 1 species